GGGGCUGUAGCUCAAUUGGGAGAGCGCUUGCAUGGCAUGCAAGAGGUCGUCGGUUCGAACCCGAUCAGCUCCA
rnacentral:tRNA from 1 species